rnacentral:rRNA from 1 species
GCGUGAUGACGAGGCACCACGGUGCUGAAGUGACAAAUGCCCUGCUUCCAGGAAAAGCCUCUAAGCAUCAGGUAACAUUAAAUCGUACCCCAAACCGACACAGGUGGUCAGGUAGAGAAUACCAAGGCGCUUGAGAGAACUCGGGUGAAGGAACUAGGCAAAAUGGUGCCGUAACUUCGGGAGAAGGCACGCUGACAUGUAGGUGAAGCCCCUGCGGGUG